rnacentral:rRNA from 1 species
UACGAAGGGGGCUAGCGUUGCUCGGAUUGACUGGGCGUAAAGGGCGCGUAGGCGGUUCGUACAGUCAGACGUGAAAUUCCUGGGCUCAACCUGGGGGCUGCGUUUGAUACGUGCGGACUUGAGUGCGGAAGAGGGUCGUGGAAUUCCUGGUGUAGCGGUGAAAUGCGCAGAUAUCAGGAGGAACACCGAUGGCGAAGGCAGCUCGCUGGGACGGUACUGACGCUGAGACGCGAAAGCGUGGGGAGCGAACAGG